rnacentral:tRNA from 1 species
GCAGCUAUGGCCGAGUGGUUAAGGCGAUGGACUCGAAUUUAUUCCGGUUCAUUUACAUUUGAGAAAUUCAUUCAUUUGGAUUUAGAAAUACGUAAUAUUUUCUAACAAAUGUGAAUGAGAUGUAUAAGAAUUCAUAUAGUCAUCCAUUGGGAUAUUCCCGCACAGGUUCGAAUCCUGUUGGCUGCG